rnacentral:rRNA from 1 species
AAGGUGGCCUGUGAGGGAUGCUGGAGGUAUCAGAAGUGCGAAUGCUGACAUAAGUAACGAUAAAGCGGGUGAAAAGCCCGCUCGCCGGAAGACCAAGGGUUCCUGUCCAACGUUAAUCGGGGCAGGGUGAGUCGACCCCUAAGGCGAGGCCGAAAGGCGUAGUCGAUGGGAAACGGGUUAAUAUUCCCGUACUUGGUGUUACUGCGAAGGGGGGACGGAGAAGGCUAUGUUGGCCGGGCGACGGUUGUCCCGGUUUAAGCGUGUAGGUGUGUGUUCCAGGUAAAUCCGGUUCACUUUAACACUGAGGCGUGAUGACGAGGCACUACGGUGCUGAAGCAACAAAUGCCCUGCUUCCAGGAAAAGCCUCUAAGCAUCAGGUAACAUCAAAUCGUACCCCAAACCGACACAGGUGGUCAGGUAGAGAAUACCAAGGCGCUUGAGAGAACUCGGGUGAAGGAACUAGGCAAAAUGGUGCCGUAACUUCGGGAGAAGGCACGCUGACACGUAGGUGAAGUGAUUUACUCACGGAGCUGAAGUCAGUCGAAGAUACCAGCUGGCUGCAACUGUUUAUUAAAAACACAGCACUGUGCAAACACGAAAGUGGACGUAUACGGUGUGACGCCUGCCCGGUGCCGGAAGGUUAAUUGAUGGGGUCAGCGCAAGCGAAGCUCCUGAUCGAAGCCCCGGUAAACGGCGGCCGUAACUAUAACGGUCCUAAGGUAGCGAAAUUCCUUGUCGGGUAAGUUCCGACCUGCACGAAUGGCGUAAUGAUGGCCAGGCUGUCUCCACCCGAGACUCAGUGAAAUUGAACUCGCUGUGAAGAUGCAGUGUACCCGCGGCAAGACGGAAAGACCCCGUGAACCUUUACUAUAGCUUGACACUGAACAUUGAGCCUUGAUGUGUAGGAUAGGUGGGAGGCUUUGAAGUGUGGACGCCAGUCUGCAUGGAGCCGACCUUGAAAUACCACCCUUUAAUGUUUGAUGUUCUAACGUGGACCCGUAAUCCGGGUUGCGGACAGUGUCUGGUGGGUAGUUUGACUGGGGCGGUCUCCUCCUAAAGAGUAACGGAGGAGCACGAAGGUUGGCUAAUCCUGGUCGGACAUCAGGAGGUUAGUGCAAUGGCAUAAGCCAGCUUGACUGCGAGCGUGACGGCGCGAGCAGGUGCGAAAGCAGGUCAUAGUGAUCCGGUGGUUCUGAAUGGAAGGGCCAUCGCUCAACGGAUAAAAGGUACUCCGGGGAUAACAGGCUGAUACCGCCCAAGAGUUCAUAUCGACGGCGGUGUUUGGCACCUCGAUGUCGGCUCAUCACAUCCUGGGGCUGAAGUAGGUCCCAAGGGUAUGGCUGUUCGCCAUUUAAAGUGGUACGCGAGCUGGGUUUAGAACGUCGUGAGACAGUUCGGUCCCUAUCUGCCGUGGGCGCUGGAGAACUGAGGGGGGCUGCUCCUAGUACGAGAGGACCGGAGUGGACGCAUCACUGGUGUUCGGGUUGUCAUGCCAAUGGCACUGCCCGGUAGCUAAAUGCGGAAGAGAUAAGUGCUGAAAGCAUCUAAGCACGAAACUUGCCCCGAGAUGAGUUCU